CAGGACGCGUUCGGAGGGCCAAAUUCAAAAAUUAUUUUCUUCCUUAAAACAAAAAAUAAUUUGAUUAGACUUGCUUCAUUGCUUAACGAUGUAGUCUACGGUCAAACAUGUGACAAAUCGCACAUUUUCUCUAAUUUCACAAUUUUUUUCGGGAAGAUUUGAAGUCUAUUUUACCCUUAAACAUUUUUGUACUAAAAUGCACUUUCCUGAAAAUGAUACUAUUAUUUAUAUUGGUUAGGGAGAGUUACAGAUAGGUCAAGGAAAAAUCACGAACUUUUAACAUUUUUGUAGUUUUUGAAGAUACGUAGCUGGUAGUGAAACACAAAAUAUUCGGAAUUAAAGAAUAGGACAACUAAACAGAACCUCUGUGAUGGCGCAAGCGUGGUUUCGAACCUCAACACACAAAAAAUAGAUUUUAUACACAUUUUUUUAUAAGGCACGGUUUAACAAAUACAAGCAAAAUUCGACGGGGCGCCAUAAUCGUCAAAAUUUUUUUCGAGCAACAAUGUUUUGCCACAAUACUCUAUAUGGCACAGGAAAAAGGCACAAAUUUUAUCAGCAAAAUCUGCUAUGUGCAAGAGCCACGUCUGGGACACUUGGCGUGGAAUGACCCAUAUAUAUAUAUAUAUAUAUAUACACACACACACACACACAUACUUAGCAUUGUACCACCUAUAAGUUUAGCUGAUACUAUACAAGUUGCUUGUUUCACACCACUUCACUUAGCUUAUUGGGGAAUGGCAAGAACAUGGAAAACAUUCCGACAAGCCUUAAGCAUGUAAUAGCGCAAUGCUUGCAGAAGGCCGGUAGGUGUGUAUCGAAAGGUGAAGUGUAUGGGACUUGGUACCAUCUCUGGAAAUGUCCAUAUCUGUACUGGCUUGGUAUGUGAAAAAAUGGAAGUCUAUUGGAGGGAGAAGUGAUAAAGUUUCGAAGAAAGAGCCUAGCUUGUAGCAUGGUGUUCAUGACAGAGAAGAAAAACUGAGUGGCUACUUGUGGAAGGAGAGCAAGAUGCACUACGAACUCACACGCAUGCAAGUCCACUCACUGGCUUGCUGAUAUGCAAAGGCACUUGGUCGCAGAUGUCUGGAGUCAUGAAAAGCUGAUGGUUGGUAUAACCAACCACCAGCUUUUAAUUAUUAGCGAACUAUUAGGAUUCCUGCUAGCUACAACUUCAAGAACAAUGUUUGUCUCUACCCAUAAGCACCACCAAUAAGAAUGAUACAAGAAGGAAGGAGAAAGGGAAGUAUAGUGUUGCGUUGAUAGACCUGCAGAAAAACUGAAAACUGAGUGUGCAGCUGUCGAGAAAAAGAGAGAAAACCGCAGAUGCAGCCAAAAGGCGAGCACUGAAAGUGAAUUCCAAGCGUUCUCACAUCAGACGCUAGAUUCGAGAAGCGCCAAACUCCCACUUUGAAGGUAAACACAUUUUUAUGGUGCCAGAGGGAGCCAACCCUCUGAGUAAUCCAUCACUCUGAUGAUGAGCAUGGCUGCUUCCCUAAAAAUGACUUCCAAGAGGGUCUAUUAGCGGUUUGAAAAAUAAUGUCCUGGUGAAAUUAUGCAGAAAAAGAUCAGUUGACUUUUUACAGAGGUCUAGUCAGGAGCAGUGACAUAACUGGUGUCAUAGUUGAGUGCAUUUGACGAAGGAACAACAACGCAUGGACAGUGUUUCCCCACUUAAGAGGACGUAAUUAAAACUUCAUUGGAGGGCACUGUGUCAACAUCAUCUCACGUAGAGCUGGCCGGCAGUACGAAAUGACUGUGAUCUGCUAAUAUUUGGUGCAUAUAUGACACCCUCCAAAAUUGACUAACACAACUUUUUGGAGUGACGAGCCAUCUGUCCCAUUGCAUCCAAAUGAUGUCCCAUUCCUCCCACAUUUAAGGGUGAAGUGGGGGAAUAUUUAUUGUUUACCAUUGGCUUUUUUUUAACUCCCUAGAAGACAUUAAAGGCUGUCCUCUUUUGUUGCGAUUACAUAGCCCUCACUCAAUAUUCAGGUAAUUUGAACUUGUUUCUAGGCUGCAAAUAAAUGGAGAAAAAUAUUCAAGCAGGUAAGUCAUCCAAAUCCUCCCAGCUCUCCACUAGUCCCAGUAGCCGAAAUAUGUUGUUGAAGCCUUACUUCAUCACAUUUGAUGUAUGGCUGUAUUUAUCUCUCUAGUGUGAACAUUAUGCUGCAUAUGGUUUCUUGAAACAAGUUGUACCAGCCUCUCCUGUAAUUACCAUAAAUCUGCUAAGGGUGAUAUAAAAGAACAGCCACCAAGUGCAAGCUCAGUAAUGCAAGCUUAACCAUGGCUAUUUGAUUCUGGCCACUUGGUGAAUAGUGACACUUUCUAAACUUGUUGGAAUCUGUUCGAUUCAGCUUUGUGCCAGUUCAAUAACGUAAUGCUAAGUGUUGCUAGAGUAAUACUUAGUUAUAAAGAUUAUCAAAAAGGGGAGUGCUGGUUAGACAUCACAUGCUUUUGGUCACUCACAAUCGUGCAAGAACAUUCUUAUUUACGCACACUUCUUCAGUUUCUUCUAGAAGGACCAAAACCUAAAAUAAGUGGCUGUCAAAUGUGGCGUCUGCUGCACACGUCUUUAACGAAACAUAUUGAAUGACUACAGAACACCAUGAAGACGACACAGUGAAGCUCUCCAUUGUUGGAUGCAGGGGUGCAACAGCCGAAAUAGGACUUGGAGCAAUUUUUGGAGCAGCAAAAUGUUGCAUUGGAGCACAAAAAUUGAAAUUUUGAGCAGGUUGCGAAAAAAAGCCUGAAUUUUUUAGCCCGAAAUCCCAAAUUUGGAGCAGUAUAACAAAGAAGGCUUACUUUUAGAAAAGAAAACAAAAAUACGUAAAAACCAUUCAACAUCAGCUAUUUCGUGCACAGUGCAUGUGAACGCUGCUAUUUCAAUAAAAGCAGUGUGUUGAGCCACCCCACAGUGCGAACAAUGACUAAGUACACGUUAGCAUCUGCAGGACCUGUCAAAUAAUUCGACAGGCACUGGAAAUGCUAAUGUGGACCUGCGAACCUGGCAACCUAGAAAUUUGGGAGAUUCAUAAAGCAGGAGCAAGUGAGGGUAGCGAAAAAAGAAAACUGUCAUACGCUUUUGUCUAUUGUUUCUCAAGGCCGCAGAAACGCCAUACACAGCAGCUCCAAAUGAUUGCCAAUAAUUUUUUAGAUGUCAGCGAUCAUACUAGUACUUGUAAUUACACGGUGCGUGCAUGAAUGAGUAAUGAAGGAACAAAAUGUGUUCAGUCCCUGACAGCUAGUACUAAUAGCCCCUUCUAAAUCUCAGUAUGCUUUUCCGCAGGACACCAGUGUACUGCAGCAAAAGUGGCUUAAAAAGCGUUCUGCACGCAAUAAAACAAGCAUCAGGAAAUUUGAGAACUACUGUCCUUUUCUACUGUGAUAACAACUAUAUGGACACUAUCGACGAGUUUUUGCCGUCAUCUCCCGUAUAAAGUCCAAAUUGAUAACAUAUCCCUGUGCAUAGUAUGUUCUACCAUGGGUAAAAGCAUGUGAGCGCGUGCGACGAACGCGACUGAAGCAGAUGUCAAAUGAGCCAGGCCAUCUCCGUCGCUCGGAUGGCGCAUGCUAUAACACCACUCCACUCGGGAAGCCUGCCAUCGAAGCAUAGAGGAAACGCCCCGUCCGUCUUGAACGAGCAUGAAAAGAUGCGAGAGGGGGGCGGUGGAGCUGUCGCUCGAGCAGCAACUUUUGAACUUUGAUUCUAAGGGUGCGGUCGCGAUCGCUGGUGCGCGCGCUAUCUCGGCAGCCAUCAGCGGGCGGCUCGUAUAUCCUGCUACGUGCUGCGCUGUCAAUGCGAAGACACUGUGCAGAAAGAGCAUCUUUCCCUGGAAACGCCGUAUUCUCUUACACCAAUGUUUUGUAGAGUUACGCGAGAUUGGAUACAAAAGAGUUUGCUGCCAGCCUCACUUCGUAUAGCAUUACAAUUUGUUGCUAUCGCAUUCAUUGCUUCGUCCUUCCGGUGAAACUGACUUUUUUCUUUUCUUUCGGGGGGGAUAGGGUUAGGGUCUGCGCGUCUGUAUUGGAUGACGAUGCCCACACUGCAGAUGACCAAUGCGGCCUCCAUUUCUCGCUCAAAUUUGCGCAUCUAAGAAUAUUUUAAGCUGGUCAGGCAUUUUGGCGCAGCGUGGCGCAAUUUUAACAAAUUUCACGGUUUUGGCUUAGCUUGGCGCAAAAAUAAGGAAUUGUAUCAAAUUGGCACAAUUGGCGCAGCUGUUGCAUCCCUGCGAGGAUGUCGUCUUUGUGGUAUUUUGUCUUAGCUCAACAUGUUCCAUUUAGACGGCCAUAAGCUAGCCCAAAGUCAUGUCAUUAUACAACACAUUUUUGAUACCAUAUAUGGUCCAUUCAUUUGAUUUGCUUUAAAUCAAUGUCUGCUCUAUGCAGUGAACAUGCAUUUUCUCUGCAGAUGUGUAGCUGCAGAGUUUAUUGAUCACCUGGACUAGCAUGCACUUCUACAAGUUUUUUAUUACAGCACUUCUGGAUUAAACAAUUCUUAACGGAAUGUUUUCAAACUAUAAUGACCCUGUGACUCAAAUGCAAGGGCACCACACUUCAUAAGGUGCUUGCUGGUAAUGUGCUACAGAGUCCCAUAUUAAAGUACUCAAGCAGCAGAAUUCAGAGUCCUUUAAAGUUAGUGGGGUCAGUACUGCCUCACGCUCACCAGCCUGCUUGUGCCAGUCACUGUUUAAUAAUUCACUUGCUUAUGUACCAUGGAAUAGCUGCAUCUACCACACACAGGACAGUCUUUCAGAAUUUAGGCAUCACAAAGGCCUACAAAGCCUGCACACACAUCCAAUGAAGGUGGUUUAAGCUUUCACAAAGGAAAGGUUAUUGGAAGUGGGAGGCCUAUGUUACUGACUGUUUUGUUUGAAUGCCAUAUGUGAAGCAUGACCGCAUUGGAUAUGUCAUGAUCAGUCCCUGUGUUAAAAAAAUCUGGCCCUGCUCACUCCAUUGGAAGCCUUGCAAAUGUCUCAUUACUCAGUGGCAUUCAAACUCUUUGUCCUUGAAAUGCAAUGCUGUGCAUGUAUAUGCCAGUUUGUUAAAACAUUGUUAGUUUUUGGAGGGAAUUUCAGACUGCAAAAUGCAUACAGGUGUUCUUGCUUAACUGCACACAAAUUGAACUUAGGGGCUUUGAGUUAACAAAAACACCUCAGACAUGACCAUGCUUACAACUGCUUUUUGCACCUUUUGCACCUCUAACAGGUCAGUUCUCUGCCAUUGUGGCAUGCAGAAAUGUAGUUCAGACAGUCUGCAUUUAUGUUCAAGUGCACAUAAAUGAUGUUGGAACCAUACAGUGAGCAUACUUCACUACCACAUUUUUUUUGUGUGUGUGUGUUCAUGUAUUCUUUCUCAUCUAUGUGACCCACCUCUGCUUUAACAACCAUGCAUGGGCUAUGCUGAGGAGCACAGAAAUGGAAUGAAAAAGUGCUUUUGUAGCUGCAGGUGUUGUCAACUUGAGAAUCAAAAGGUGGCUCCUGUGAGAGUAAUUUAACCUGGUACUUUGCCCCUGCCAUGAGUAAUUGGCCAAUAGGGGAAGAGCUUACAACAGACGCACGGUGAAACGCAUGUUGACACUUCCUCACUUUCAUGAUGCUUGUCCGGCACUGAGGCUACAUUGUAAAGUGUUCUUAUGCAAAAUAUGUUUGGUCACUGGCACGAACAAUGCUGCCUUCCGUUUCCAUGUCAAAGUGAAAAAAAAAAAGUAGUAUGUAGUUGCUCUGUCACAAUGCUGUGUGUGAUUUAUCCAUGGACACGUCAGUGUUUAUACAAAGCAUGGAAAUUUUUCAAAUGUAUCAAAUAAGUCCUUGACAGCUCUUGUCUCUUCAAGAAAAACCCUUAUAAUUUUUUUUUAAUUAAAAGUGCCAGUAGUCUUCUUAAAAUGAAGACACAGCUGCUGUCUAUGUUCAAGAAUAUUAUUGAGAGGCUGCUUCAGACUAGUGAACCACCACAAGGACUAGUGAACCACCACAAAAGUAUUCAUUGCAUUGGUUUGACUGUAGGAGCUACUGUUGACUUCUUGACUGCUUUUUUCUCCAUAUGGGCUAACAUGCUACAAGCAGAGCAAAGGACAUGCACAAUGGAAAGUGAUGCAAGCUGAUAUACAAAGUUUUUCUAUGUAGGCCUUAAUUAAUACUUCAUGGGCAUAUUGCAAUAAAAGGGCUGUUCUUUUGUAUACGUACCAUUACCUCUGGUGCCAAUGGAGUAACAUAUGACAUGAAAUAAUUAGUCACUGAUUAGCAAAAAUGUAAUAAUUAUUUUAUUGAGACCUCUGUAAAAGCCAUAUCAGCUUCUGAAUGUGAAAAAAAAAAAAGGUGGUCACCUGUGGAUCUGUGGCACAAUGAAUUCCUGCUUUCAGCAUGCAAAACCAUAACAGGGAGGCAUAAGUGCACAUGGCCGCACCUCUGGAGGCAACAUUGUUGCAUAAAUCACCAAACUGCGGGCAGCCAAUGCUGUGCCAUUCUACACUGUCAACAAUUGAGCUGCACAAUGCUGACACCAAGCACAAAUUACUCACUGUGAUGUAAUUACUUCAGUGAUGUAAGCAGAAACAUUGUCUCAGUGGAUGUAGCCAUUUGUGUGCAUCUGUUUUCUGGCUUUGUUUUCACGCACUCCAAGAGUGGGAAUUCGUCGUGCCACAGUUUCAUGGUUAAUUGCACCUGUUCACAUUCCAAAGCUGAUAUGGCUUUUACAGAGAGCUCACUUAAAUUGGCCAUUUAUAAUGAACCCACUCAACCUAGUAGCUUAGAAGUUAAUUAACUUAUUUUUGCUAUUUACCACCUAAUUACCGCAUAUCACCCAUCGUCAUACGGCCACCACAUCUCAUGGCAUGUCAGUGGUGGUAAUGGACCUGCCCUUUUAUUUCAAGACAGCUCUUUUUAAGUAAUACUUAGUCCUCAAAGAAACACCCAGUAUACAGUCUCACAAAUAGCAACAUAAUUGCUCUCAAGGCCAUUUUUUUUCUUUAUAGAGAAAAUUCUUUGGCAUGCACUUUUAAUUAGUAAUGACCCUGCGAGUAUGCAGUGACAUUUGAAUGUAACCUAGUGCAGCUACAUGUGAAACACCAGCAAGAGAUAAGGUAAUUUUUACUAAAUAAGAUCUGUAAUUGAAUUGAGUCAAUUUCAUUUGUGCAUUCACUGCUGUGGGAAUAAAAAAAAAGCAAGUAGCAAAAAUAGUGCAUCAUAAAAUUGCCCAUGUUGCCUGGUUGAUGGUUUAUUAGCUUAUUCAACAUACCACUCAAUGCAUUGAUUUGCAUUGGGUGUAUAGCUGCUGCAGUGAUUUUUGUCACAAUUUUGAUCCUUCUACGGACACCAAUAUCGUUUGGAAAAUGUGGUAAGUUUCUUAAGAUGUAAAAAUAUGUGGGCAUCAAGUUUAACAUGUGCACCCAGAGGAAUAAAACUGCUCUUUCUUUUUAAUAGGAUAGCAAGGGCACUGCUUUUGUGCAGAACCCUUUAUGUGCACGUAGGUGGGGUUUAUCCAAAACAAAGCUGUUUGUAAUGCACUACAUUUUUUUUUAAAAGGCAGCUGUGCCAGUCACGAUUAGGACAUCACAGUUGUAGGAAAUGCCAAUAGGCACUGAGCAUUCGCACAACCCGAGUUUUUGAGAGAGUGCAAAUGCUGACUGUACUGGUUAUUUCCAAUUGGAUUUAUUUCCACUCAAAAUGAUGCUUGCUUUGGUAGAAGUGCAAUGUGAAACUCCUGAAGGUUUUUUUUUUUUCCUCCAGUUUAUGCUUACCAGUACGCUUCUCUGGAGCUGGAGGAGAUUGUUGCUUAUUAACCUCUAGCUAGAGUUACUGUAUGUGCUACCUUUAGGUAGCAGAAUUGCUCAUAGGUCUGGCUAGCAACCACAGCUAUGCGGUGGAGUAGCACUCCGUUUUUGCAGGCAACAUGCCUACCGUGUCACCGAUUGACAUGUCUGGCGUGUCAAAGACCAGCGACAAACAUUGACUGUCGAUGAUUAGUGUUAAUUCAGUUCGCUGCAGCGGCGGUGUCAAGAAAUACAAAAACUGGCCCGAGCGUCAGCUUCUCCGCAAUGCAUGGUUGCUAGCGGCGUUUGGAAGACAGAUGUGCAGCUCUGUUACCUAGAGGUAGCAUAUACAGUAACUCUACCUCUAGCAGCAGUACCACCUGCCAGUGCAACAGAUCGUACUUGUGUUCUUAUGUGUUUGUUGCACAUCUGACUUCGUUGUCUGACGUACACUGCAUAUGACUGUGCCACUCCUACCCUGUCUUUGUGUCUCGCUUUAUGGAGGUGAGAGCAAGCAGGCACUAUUUCCUAGUGUUGCUGCACCUUUUAAGCUGUCAUACAUUUUGUUCAAGGAGAACAAUAACAAGCACUGUGCAACAUUUACCAGCGACUUUGUUAUCAGGGCAACUGUGAACGUAUGCCCACAACCUGUGGUCGAAGAUACAUUAUGUCAAAUCCCCCUCUGUACAUGUAUUCGCCUUGGGCGACCUUCCUAUAUUUUAUAAUAAAUGGAGAAAUGUUUGUUACA